rnacentral:rRNA from 1 species
GAUGAACGCUAGCGAUAGGCUUAACACAUGCGAGUCGAGGGGCAGCACAAGGUAGCUUGCUAUCUGGGUGGCGACCGGCGCACGGGUGCGUAACGCGUAUGCAACUUGCCCUAUACAGGAGGAUAACCCGUCGAAAGACGGACUAAUACUGCGUAUGCUCACAACUUGGCAUCAAGUGGUGAGGAAAGAAAUUCGGUAUAGGAUAGGCAUGCGUCCCAUUAGCUUGUUGGUGAGGUAACGGCUCACCAAGGCAACGAUGGGUAGGGGAACUGAGAGGUUUAUCCCCCACACUGGUACUGAGACACGGACCAGACUCCUACGGGAGGCAGCAGUGAGGAAUAUUGGUCAAUGGGCGCGAGCCUGAACCAGCCAAGUCGCGUGAAGGAGGACUGUCUUAUGGAUUGUAAACUUCUUUUAUACGGGAAUAACAAGAGUCACGUGUGACUCCCUGCAUGUACCGUAUGAAUAAGCAUCGGCUAACUCCGUG